UAUCCCCUACGGGAGGCAGCAGUGGGGAAUUUUGGACAAUGGGCGCAAGCCUGAUCCAGCUAUUCCGCGUGUGGGAUGACGGCCCUCGGGAUGUAAACCACUUUAGUAGAGAACGAAAAGGAGCUACCGAAUAAAUAGCUCUGCUGACGGUACUCUAAGAAUAAGCACCGGCUAACUACGUGCCAGCAGCCGCGGUAAUACGUCGGGUGCGAGCGUUAAUCGGAAUUACUGGGCGUAAAGGGUGUGCAGGCGGCUGAGUAAGACAGAUGUGAA
rnacentral:rRNA from 1 species